UAACACAGUUCACAAGGCCUAUGGUUAC
rnacentral:sRNA from 1 species